GGUUGAUCCUGCCAGUAACAUAUGCUUGUCUCAAAGAUUAAGCCAUGCAUGUCUAAGUAUAAACAACUUUAUACUGUGAAACUGCGUACAGCUCAUUAAAUCAGUCAUUAUUUAUUUGAUGGUUUCUUACUUACAUGGAUACCCGUAGUAAUUCUAGAGCUAAUACAUGCAAAAAAUCCCGACUUUUGAAGGGAUGUAUUUAUUAGAUAAAAAACCAAUGCGUCCUUCGGGGCGGUUUGUGGUGAUUCAUAAUAACUGAUCGAAUCGCAUGGCCUUGCGCUGGCGAUAGUUC
rnacentral:rRNA from 1 species